UCUCGCUAGCCCGUCAUCCAGACCCUGGCUCAGCCGAGACUCAUCUCACACUUCCGGCUGAUAAUUGGCUCUGAUACCAUCUGUAACGCCCCGACUUCCCAGGGGGUCACCCAUCCUAGGACUACUCCCAUCCCAGCACGCUUAACUCUCUUAACCUCUUGGGCCUAGGCACCACCCAAAAUGCUUAAGCCGGGUUAAGAGUUUAGCCUUAUUAUAUCUCAUAUAUAGGACUAUUUGGGGUCUCACAUUAGGGACCGCGCUCCCGU
rnacentral:lncRNA from 1 species